GCCCCCAUAGCUCAGAGGAUAGAGCAGUGGUGUCCUAAACCAUGUGCCCAGGUUCGAGUCCUGGUGGGGGCGCCA
rnacentral:tRNA from 1 species